AGAGUUUGAUCAUGGCUCAGAUUGAACGCUGGCGGCAUGCCUUACACAUGCAAGUCGAACGGUAACGGGCCUUCGGGUGCCGACGAGUGGCGAACGGGUGAGUAAUGCAUCGGAACGUACCUUCAGUGGGGAUAACGUAGCGAAAGUUACGCUAAUACCGCAUAUUCUGUGAGCAGGAAAGCAGGGGAUCGCAAGACCUUGCGCUGAUUGAGCGGCCGAUGUCAGAUUAGCUAGUUGGUGAGGUAAAGGCUCACCAAGGCGACGAUCUGUAGCGGGUCUGAGAGGAUGAUCCGCCACACUGGAACUGAGACACGGUCCAGACUCCUACGGGAGGCAGCAGUGGGGAAUUUUGGACAAUGGGGGCAACCCUGAUCCAGCCAUGCCGCGUGAGUGAAGAAGGCCUUCGGGUUGUAAAGCUCUUUCGGCCGGGAAGAAAUCGCAUGGGUUAAUACCCUGUGCGGAUGACGGUACCGGCAUAAGAAGCACCGGCUAACUACGUG
rnacentral:rRNA from 1 species